rnacentral:lncRNA from 1 species
ACUUGCGGUAGGUUGGGGCAGGAGACCCUAUUCCAAAGGAGGGCGGGCUUAAGCACUGCUGAGACGCCAACGUGCACACUGGACCGUGUCGCUUUCAGAAAAGCCACUGGCAGAAGAUUCGGACCAUGGUGAAUCUGCCCGUCAUGAGCCCUUUCAAGAGGCGCUAUGCCUGGGUGCAGCUGGCUGGGCACACGGGUGAGCACAGGGCAGGCGCUGGUGAGGUGGGUGGGUGUCUGGAGUAGGAAGGGACCAGGCAGCGCUAACUGGUGCCAGUCUGCAGGGAGUUUCAAGGCGGCUGGCACCAGCGGGCUGAUCCUGAAGCGCAGCUCAGAGCCGGAGCGCUACUGCCUGGCGCGGC